rnacentral:rRNA from 1 species
GACGAACCGUGCGAACGUUAUUCGGAAUCACUGGGCUUAAAGGGCGCGUAGGCGGGCAGUCAAGUCAGGGGUGAAAUCCUGGAGCUCAACUCCAGAACUGCCUUUGAUACUGACGGUCUUGAGUUCGGGAGAGGUGAGUGGAACUGCGAGUGUAGAGGUGAAAUUCGUAGAUAUUCGCAAGAACACCAGUGGCGAAGGCGGCUCACUGGCCCGAUACUGACGCUGAGGUGCGAAAGCGUGGGGAGCAAACAGG